rnacentral:rRNA from 1 species
AUUGAACGCUGGCGGAAUGCUUUACACAUGCAAGCCGAACGGCAGCACGGACUUCGGUCUGGUGGCGAGUGGCGAACGGGUGAGUAAUGUAUCGGAACGUGCCCAGUCGUGGGGGAUAACGUAGUGAAAAUUACGCUAAUACCGCAUACGAACUAUGGAUGAAAGCGGGGGAUCGCAAGACCUCGCGCGAUUGGAGCGGCCGAUAUCAGAUUAGGUAGUUGGCGGGGUAAAGGCCCACCAAGCCAACGAUCUGUAGCUGGUCUGAGAGGACGACCAGCCACACUGGAACUGAGACACGGUCCAGACUCCUACGGGAGGCAGCAGUGGGGAAUUUUGGACAAUGGGCGAAAGCCUGAUCCAGCCAUUCCGCGUGCAGGAUGAAGGGCCUCGGGUUGUAAACUGCUUUUGUACAGAACGAAAAGGUUUCUACUAAUACUAGGAGCUCAUGACGGUACUGUAAGAAUAAGCACCGGCUAACUACGUGCCAGCCGCCGCGGUAA